GGACUACUAGGGUAUCUAAUCCCGUUUGCUCCCCUAGCUUUCGCACCUCAGCGUCAGUCACGGUCCAGUGAGCCGCUUUCGCCACCGGUGUUCCUCCUGAUAUCUACGCAUUUCACCGCUCCACCAGGAGUUCCACUCACCCCAACCGUCCUCAAGCCGGGCUGUAUCGGAUGCAAUUCCCCGGUUGAGCCGGGGGCUUUCACAUCCGACGGACCCAGCCGCCUACGUGCGCUUUAUGCCCAGUGAUUCCGAACAACGUUCGUGGCCUCUGUCUUACCGCGGCUGCUGGCAC
rnacentral:rRNA from 2 species